UUACCCUUUUGUUGAUUUCUUUUGACAUCAAGUCCUCCUCAAUAGCUGAUUUAGCUUGGAAUCAUAUGGCCCAAGAACAGCCUGCUAGCAGGUCUGUGUCAGCAGAACUGAGAGCACAUCUCAACAUCCUGGAUAAGGUUCUUCCACCUGGUGUGAAGCAGAGCAGGAGAGCACAACAGAGCAUGACUACAGACAAAUGUAUAUAGAUGUUGUAUCUGCCUUGAGCCGACACAACCUUUACUGCAGUUCAGUUCACCACUUUCCCUUCCUUUUCCUCAUGCUGUAUCCCCAUACUGCAAGCUGAUGCAUUGCCACAUUGCCACAUACUUAUUAAAUCCUGUCAUGACAGUCCCAGAGCCAGUUAAUUCCCACAGGUACUCUAAUCACAGGCCAUAGAAAGGGUAGCAGGAAACCAGCAACUGGAGACAAUUAAUGGAGAAGGGGAUGUGUUGUGGUGUGUUGCAAUAUCCUGUUUUACCUUCUCCCUUCCCCCUCGCCCCUCGCUGAGUGUGCC